UCCCCCAGCAAUGGGCAAAGUGACACUUGUUGGGGGUUGUUCUUAUAUCAGUCAAGGGAAGAGCAGAUGGCGCUUCUUUGUUCAUUCUAGCUUGAUGCCUGGCUCAGUGUCCAAAUCCAUUUCAUGCAUAGUGCACAUAA